rnacentral:rRNA from 1 species
CCCUUAGAUGUUCUGGGCCGCACGCGCGCUACACUGAUUCCUCCAGUAAGUGUAUUUCCAAGCUCGAAAGUGCUUGGCAAUCUUUGAACGGGGAUCGUGAUAGGGAUUGGCCCUUGCAAUUUUUGGCCAUGAACGAGGAAUUUCUAGUAAACGCAGUUCAUCAGACUGCAUUGAUUACGUCCCUGCCCUUUGUACACACCGCCCGUCGCACCGACCGAUUGAAAUACUCGAUGAAAUUCAUGGACUCGUCGGAGGCGCAAGCCGAAGACUGGGAAGUGGAGUGAAUCAUGUGUUUUAGAGGAUGGUGAAGUCGUAACA